rnacentral:misc_RNA from 1 species
AUCAGAAUGCUUUGCGUUUCUGCUAUGGGCUGUCCUAUUUCCCCAACGGGGAAGCAGGUAGCCUCAAGUUGACUUGUGCAGUGCUCUGCCGAAUGACUCUUGGGUCGUAAAAAGCCUGGGUCGCCAGCAGUCAAGCCUGCCCGAGGGAUCAGUGUUGCUGAAAAGCAGACAUUGUGCCACUAUUUCUCUUUCGACCUGACAUCAAGCAAGACUACCCGCCGAAUUUAA